GAAAAAAAGGUGAUUGAGAUUGCUGUGGUUGACACAAUUAUGACACAAUAAAGGAAGGUGUUACGCUAUUGAAGAUCAUCUUUCAUCCUCCUGUUAGGACCUGUAAACUGUUUUCCUUUUUUCUUCAAAUAAGCUAAUGAUGAUUCUACAAUGACAAGGAUUUAGGACUAAUUCUACCACAGUAAAAGAGGCUGUACCAAUGAAGAAAAGGUUUGAGGGAGUUGAUAAUCAGUAUGUUUAAUUGCAUGUUCAUCUGCUGUCUCGGGCUCUAUGUUUGUCUGUGCCACUGUGUCAUUUCUGAAAGAACUUUGGCUCAAGUUAAUGUGCACACUGUUCAGUUUUUAAGAUAGCACUGGGUAUGCUUUAUAGUUUAAGUAACUAAUCUAUCAAAGUGUGCCAGGUAGAAGUUGCUA